GGCCCGGUGGCGAAGUGGGAACGCUGCGGUCUGCAAAACCGCCAUGGAGCCGGUUCGACUCCGGCCCGGGCCUCCA
rnacentral:tRNA from 1 species